AUGCAUGUCUAAGUUCAUAUUGCCUAUAAUGGUGAAACCGCGAACGGCUCAUUACAACAGCUAUUAUUUACUUGAUUUUGAUUCCAUACGUGGAUAACUGUGGCAAUUCUAGAGCUAAUACAUGCACCAAAGCUCCGACUAUGAUUUUGACGAGCGCAUCUAUUAGAAUAAAACCAAUCGAGACUUUUUUCUUUAUUCGAGAAAGUGGUCUCGUCGAUUUGGUGACUCUGAAUAGCUUAGCUGAUCGCAUGGUCUCGUACCGGCGACGUAUCUAUCAAGUAUCUGCCUUAUCAACUUUCGAUGGUAGUUUAUGUGACUACCAUGGUUGUAACGGGUAACGGAGAAUAAGGGUUCGACUCCGGAGAGGGAGCCUGAGAAACGGCUACCACUUCCAAGGAAGGCAGCAGGCGCGCAAAUUACCCACUCUCAGCACAGAGGAGGUAGUGACGAAAAAUAACGAGACCGUACUCGAUGAGGCCGGUUAUCGGAAUGGGUAAAAUUUAAACCCGUUAACGAGGAUCUAUGAGAGGGCAAGUCUGGUGCCAGCAGCCGCGGUAAUUCCAGCUCUCAAAGUGUAUAUCGGCAUUGCUGCGGUUAAAAAGCUCGUAGUUGGAUUUGAGCCUUACGACGUGGUCCAUUCAUUGAAUGCGAACUACGCCUCGUAGGCUAUUUUGAUGUUGGUUUUUCCUUAUGUCGCUCUCAUCGGCAGCGUAAGGUGGCUAACGAGUUUACCUUGAAAAAAUUAGAGUGCUCAACGCGGGCUAACGCCUGAAUACUCGUGCAUGGAAUAAUGGAAUAGGAUCUCGGUUCUAUUUUGUUGGUUUUCUGAUCUGAGAUAAUGGUUAAGAGGGACAGACGGGGGCAUUCGUAUCGCUGCGUGAGAGGUGAAAUUCUUGGACCGUAGCGAGACGUCCCACUGCGAAAGCAUUUGCCAAGAAUG
rnacentral:rRNA from 1 species